UCCUCGUGGGCGAGGGGCUGGCCGCUGUCGACAGCCAUGGCGACAACACGGCGCACACCUCCCGGCUUCUUGUGCUGGAGGAGGAG
rnacentral:tRNA from 1 species